rnacentral:rRNA from 1 species
UGGACAUUGCAAAGAGUGGCGAACGGGUGAGUAACACGUGGGAAACCUACCUCUUAGCAGGGGAUAACAUUUGGAAACAAGUGCUAAUACCGUAUAAUACCAACAACCGCAUGGUUGUUGGUUGAAAGGUGGUUCUGCUAUCACUAAGAGAUGGUCCCGCGGUGCAUUAGUUAGUUGGUGAGGUAAUGGCUCACCAAGACGAUGAUGCAUAGCCGAGUUGAGAGACUGAUCGGCCACAAUGGGACUGAGACACGGCCCAUACUCC